AAACAAAUGAUGAGAUUUCAAUCACUCAGCACCUCCCACAAGCAGACUAAUGGCCACCCAGUCUCUGAGCAAUGGCCACCUUGGAAGAAAAACCCUCCUUCC